rnacentral:rRNA from 1 species
GGGGAAUCUUCCGCAAUGGGCGAAAGCCUGACGGAGCAAGACCGCGUGGGGGAAGAAGGCUCUUGGGUUGUCAACCCCUUUUCUCAGGGAAGAAGUUCUGACGGUACCUGAGGAAUAAGCAUCGGCUAACUCCGUGCCAGCAGCCGCGGUAAGACGGAGGAUGCAAGCGUUAUCCGGAAUUAUUGGGCGUAAAGCGUCCGUAGGUGGCUUUUCAAGUCGGCGGCCAAAGACCGGGGCUUAACUCCGGAAAGGCCGUGGAAACUGAAAGGCUAGAGAAAGGUAGGGGUAGGGGGAAUUCCCGGUGUAGCGGUGAAAUGCGUAGAGAUCGGGAAGAACACCGGUGGCGAAAGCGCCCUACUGGACCUUAUCUGACACUGAGGGACGAAAGCUAGGGGAGCGAAAGGGAUUAGAUACCCCAGUAGUC